CCGUGAUGAACUAACCGUCUGUCGCUGGGGAGGAGUUCCGAUUGGGAAAUUGCAGCAAAAAAUCUACUUCUAUUUUUUUUUUGUUUUUUUUUUCCUUUGCCUUUUUACUUUGUACAAAAGCAAAGACAAAAAAAACGAAAUAAAAAUUAGGGGUGAAUUAACUAAAUAUGCUCUAUAGAUUUAAUAACAUUUGUUUUUUUUCCUUAUUUGAAAUACAAUAAAAAAAAAGAACAAAAGUAAAGCUCAAUAUGACCUAGUUACCGGUAACGAGUUAACUGGGGUAACUGCUUUUUUAUAUAAAAACAUAAAUUUAAACAGUUUCGCGAUUAUAUUUUAUAGUGUUUGUAACUUAUCUAGUUUAAUCGCUUAUAGCAUUUAACUUUUGUAGACUAUACAGUUUGUAGAUAGAUGUUCGAUGAACCCUUCUGAGUAACAUCUCAAAAGUCAUAGCAAGGUAGCUUGUACUGGAA
rnacentral:rRNA from 1 species